rnacentral:rRNA from 1 species
GACGAACGCUGGCGGCGUGCUUAACACAUGCAAGUCGAACGGAAAGGCCCUGCUUUUGUGGGGUGCUCGGGUGGCGAACGGGUGAGUAACACGUGAGUAACCUGCCCUUGACUUUGGGAUAACUUCAGGAAACUGGGGCUAAUACCGGAUAGGAGCUCCUGCUGCAUGGUGGGGGUUGGAAAGUUUCGGCGGUUGGGGAUGGACUCGCGGCUUAUCAGCUUGUUGGUGGGGUAGUGGCUUACCAAGGCUUUGACGGGUAGCCGGCCUGAGAGGGUGACCGGCCACAUUGGGACUGAGAUACGGCCCAGACUCCUACGGGAGGCAGCAGUGGGGAAUAUUGCACAAUGGGCGGAAGCCUGAUGCAGCAACGCCGCGUGCGGGAUGACGGCCUUCGGGUUGUAAACCGCUUUCGCCUGUGACGAAGCGUGAGUGACGGUAAUGGGUAAAGAAGCACCGGCUAACUACGUA